GACGAACGCUGGCGGCGUGCUUAACACAUGCAAGUCGAGCGGAAAGGCCCUGCUUUUGUGGGGUGCUCGAGUGGCGAACGGGUGAGUAACACGUGAGUAACCUGCCCUUGACUUUGGGAUAACUUCAGGAAACUGGGGCUAAUACCGGAUAGGAGCUCCUGCUGCAUGGUGGGGGUUGGAAAGUUUCGGCGGCUGGGGAUGGACUCGCGGCUUAUCAGCUUGUUGGUGGGGUAGUGGCUUACCAAGGCUUUGACGGGUAGCCGGCCUGAGAGGGUGACCGGCCACAUUGGGACUGAGAUACGGCCCAGACUCCUACGGGAGGCAGCAGUGGGGAAUAUUGCACAAUGGGCGGAAGCCUGAUGCAGCAACGCCGCGUGCGGGAUGACGGCCUUCGGGUUGUAAACCGCUUUCGCCUGUGACGAAGCGUGAGUGACGGUAAUGGGUAAAGAAGCACCGGCUAACUACGUGCCAGCAGCCGCGGUGAUACGUAGGGUGCGAGCGUUGUCCGGAUUUAUUGGGCGUAAAGGGCUCGUAGGUGGUUGAUCGCGUCGGAAGUGUAAUCUUGGGGCUUAACCCUGAGCGUGCUUUCGAUACGGGUUGACUUGAGGAAGGUAGGGGAGAAUGGAAUUCCUGGUGGAGCGGUGGAAUGCGCAGAUAUCAGGAGGAACACCAGUGGCGAAGGCGGUUCUCUGGGCCUUUCCUGACGCUGAGGAGCGAAAGCGUGGGGAGCGAACAGGCUUAGAUACCCUGGUAGUCCACGCUGUAAACGGUGGGUACUAGGUGUGGGGUCCAUUCCACGGGUUCCGUGCCGUAGCUAACGCUUUAAGUACCCCGCCUGGGGAGUACGGCCGCAAGGCUAAAACUCAAAGGAAUUGACGGGGCCCCGCACAAGCGGCGGAGCAUGCGGAUUAAUUCGAUGCAACGCGUAGAACCUUACCUGGGUUUGACAUGGAUCGGGAGUGCUCAGAGAUGGGUGUGCCUCUUUUGGGGUCGGUUCACAGGUGGUGCAUGGCUGUCGUCAGCUCGUGUCGUGAGAUGUUGGGUUAAGUCCCGCAACGAGCGCAACCCUUGUUCACUGUUGCCAGCACGUUAUGGUGGGGACUCAGUGGAGACCGCCGGGGUCAACUCGGAGGAAGGUGGGGAUGACGUCAAGUCAUCAUGCCCCUUAUGUCCAGGGCUUCACGCAUGCUACAAUGGCUGGUACAGAGAGUGGCGAGCCUGUGAGGGUGAGCGAAUCUCGGAAAGCCGGUCUCAGUUCGGAUUGGGGUCUGCAACUCGACCUCAUGAAGUCGGAGUCGCUAGUAAUCGCAGAUCAGCAACGCUGCGGUGAAUACGUUCCCGGG
rnacentral:rRNA from 1 species